AGCAUAUCAAUAAGCGGAGGAAAAGAAACCAACAGGGAUUGCCUCAGUAACGGCGAGUGAAGCGGCAAAAGCUCAAAUUUGAAAUCCUCCGGGAAUUGUAAUUUGAAGGUGGUCUCAGUUAGUUCAAACAUUCUUAAGUCCAUUGGAAAAUGGCGCCAUGGAGGGUGAUAGCCCCGUAAAGAAUCCGUUUUGUUCUAUUUUCUUUGACCACCAAAGAGUCGAGUUGUUUGGGAAUGCAGCUCUAAGUGGGUGGUAAAUUCCAUCUAAAGCUAAAUAUUGGCGAGAGACCGAUAGCGAACAAGUACAGUGAUGGAAAGAUGAAAAGCACUUUGAAAAGAGAGUGAAAAAGUACGUGAAAUUGUUGAAAGGGAAGGGCUUGCAAGCAGACACAACCUUUUGGUUGGGCCAGCAUCGGGGCGAGGGGAAGGAAAAAAGAAAAGGAAAUGUAACUCUCGAGUAUUAUAGACCUCUUCCAAAACUUCCAUCUCAUCCCGAGCCUGCGGAUUCAUCCUAGGAUGCUGGUGUAAUGGUUGCAAGUGUGGG
rnacentral:rRNA from 1 species